AUCUUUCCUACUCUCUCGUCUCACCACCACCCCCGCCAUCGACUUCUUUCCCCUCUCAGUCUCUCCGACCUCCCUCUAUCCCUCUUCUUUCCCCUCUCGAUCUCUCCGACCUCCCCUCACCACCACCAACGCCACUAACCACCACCGCCACCAAGUCCGAAAUCAACCCUAACUUGUAAAAUUCAAGGUUAUUUUCAGGUAAAAUUCGAGGUAUAAUGAUUUAUAUCUUAAAUUGAAGAAUCAAGAUGCAGGAAUAUUGAUAUAGAUGUUGUAUGGGUUUUUUUUUAUUUUAAUGUUGUAACUUUUAUUUUUUGAUUUAUAUUGAAUUUUUUUUUUAUUUGUAUGUUGUAAUUGUUAGAUUAUAUUGAUUUAUAUUGUAAUUUUGAUGUCCGAAAUUGUGAUCUAUAUCGAGCAAUUAGUAGAUUAGAAAACUGUUCAGUAAUAAAAUUAUGAUGUUGCGUU